rnacentral:rRNA from 1 species
AUUCAUGCAGUCGAGCGGACAGAUGGGAGCUUGCUCCCUGAUGUUAGCGGCGGACGGGUGAGUAACACGUGGGUAACCUGCCUGUAAGACUGGGAUAACUCCGGGAAACCGGGGCUAAUACCGGAUGCUUGUUUGAACCGCAUGGUUCAGACAUAAAAGGUGGCUUCGGCUACCACUUACAGAUGGACCCGCGGCGCAUUAGCUAGUUGGUGAGGUAACGGCUCACCAAGGCGACGAUGCGUAGCCGACCUGAGAGGGUGAUCGGCCACACUGGGACUGAGACACGGCCCAGACUCCUACGGGAGGCAGCAGUAGGGAAUCUUCCGCAAUGGACGAAAGUCUGACGGAGCAACGCCGCGUGAGUGAUGAAGGUUUUCGGAUCGUAAAGCUCUGUUGUUAGGGAAGAACAAGUGCCGUUCAAAUAGGGCGGCACCUUGACGGUACCUAACCAGAAAGCCACGGCUAACUACGUGCCAGCAGCCGCGGUAAUACGUAGGUGGCAAGCGUUGUCCGGAAUUAUUGGGCGUAAAGGGCUCGCAGGCGGUUUCUUAAGUCUGAUGUGAAAGCCCCCGGCUCAACCGGGGAGGGUCAUUGGAAACUGGGGAACUUGAGUGCAGAAGAGGAGAGUGGAAUUCCACGUGUAGCGGUGAAAUGCGUAGAGAUGUGGAGGAACACCAGUGGCGAAGGCGACUCUCUGGUCUGUAACUGACGCUGAGGAGCGAAAGCGUGGGGAGCGAACAGGAUUAGAUACCCUGGUAGUCCACGCCGUAAACGAUGAGUGCUAAGUGUUAGGGGGUUUCCGCCCCUUAGUGCUGCAGCUAACGCAUUAAGCACUCCGCCUGGGGAGUACGGUCGCAAGACUGAAACUCAAAGGAAUUGACGGGGGCCCGCACAAGCGGUGGAGCAUGUGGUUUAAUUCGAAGCAACGCGAAGAACCUUACCAGGUCUUGACAUCCUCUGACAAUCCUAGAGAUAGGACGUCCCCUUCGGGGGCAGAGAGACAAGUGGUGCAUGGUUGUCGUCACCUCCUGUCCUGAGAAGGUUGGGGUUAAUUCCCGCACCAAGCGCAACCCUUGAUCUAUUUGCCGCCAUCAAUUGGGGCUCUAAGGGAAUGCCGUGGCAACCGCAGAAAGGGGGGGGUGGGGGGGAAAACAAUAAGCGCCCUUAACCGGGGGCCCCCCGCUCCAUGGGAAGAAAAAAGGGGGGGAACCGCCGGGUGAGCAAUCCCC